AAGAGAAGAGGUUGUAGGUAGUGGAUUUGGACCUGAGAAAGAGAAGGUUGUAGGUUGCUGAUUUGGACUGUAGAGAGAGGAAGGAGGUAGCUCAUGUAUACUGUAGAGAGAGGAAGUAGAAAGCUGAUUUGGACAGGCGGGAGAAGAUGAAGGUAGCUGAUUUGGACUGGAGAGAGAUGUAGGUAGCUGAUUUAGACUGGAGAAAGAGGUUAUAGGUAGCUGAUUUGUACCGGAGAGAGAAUAUGUAGGUAGCUUAUUUGAACUGGGAAGAAAGUUUGUAGGUAGCUGAUUUGGACUGGUGAGAGAGUUUAUAGGUAGCUGAUUUGGACUGGAGAGAGAAGAAGAUUUGGACUGGUGAUAGAGGAAAUAGGUAGCUGAUUAUGAAUGGAAAGACAAGAAGUAAGAAGCAGAUUUGAAAUGGAGAGAGAGGAUGUAUGUUGCUGAUUUGGACUGGAGGGAGUGGAUGAAGAUAGCUGAUUUUGACUGGAGAGAGAGGAAGUAGGUAGCUGAUUAGGACUGUAGAGAGAGGAAAUAGGUAGCUUAUUUGGACUGGAGAGAGAGAAAGUAUGUAGAUGAUUUGGACUGGAGAAAGAGGAAGUAGGUAAUUGAUUUGGAUUUGAGAAAGAGGAGAUUAUAGGUAGCUGAUUUGGACUAGAGAGAGAGAGCGAGAGAGGAGGUAGGUAGCUGAUUUGGACUGGAGAGAAAGGAGGUUGUAAGUAGCUGAUUUGAGACUUGAGAGAGAGGACGUAGGUAGCUUAUUUGGACUGGAGAGAGAGGAGGCUGUAAGCAGCUGAUUUGGACUGGAGAGAGAGGAAGUAAGUAGUUGAUAUGGAAUGGCAAGAGAGGAAGUAGGUAGCUGAUUUGGACUGGACAGAGAUGAGGUUGUAGAUAGCUGAUGUGGACUGGAGAGAGAAAUGCCGUUGGUAGCUGAUUUGGACUGGAGAGAGAGGUUGUAUGUAGCUGAUUUGGACUGGAGAGAGAAGAUGAUUUGGACUGGAGAAAGAGGAAGUAGGUACCUAAUGUGGACUGGACAGAGAGGAAGUAGGUAGCUGAUAUGGAAUGGAGAGAUAGGAAGUUGGUAGCUGAUAUGGAAUGGAGAGAGAGGGAGUAUGUAGCUGAUUUGGACCGGAGAGAGAUGAACUAGGUACCUGAUUUGGACCUAAGAAAGAGGAGGUUGUAGGUAGCUGAUUUGGACUGGAGAGAAAGGAGGUUGUAAGUAGCUGAUUUGAGACUUGAGAGAGAGGACUUAGGUAGCUUAUUUGGACUGGAGAGAGAGGAAGUAAGUAGCUGAUAUGGAAUGGCAAGAGAGGAAGUAGGGAGCUGAUUUGGACUGGACAGAGAUGAGGUUGUAGGUAGCUGAUGUGGACUGAAGAGAAAAAUGCCGUAGGUAGCUGAUUUGGACUGGAGAGAGAGGUUGUAUGUAGCUGAUUUGGACUGGAGAGAGAAGAUGAUUUGGACUUGAGAAAGAGGAGGUUGUAGGUAGCUAAUUUGGACUGGAGAGAUAGGAAGUAAGUAGCUGAUAUGGAACGGAGAGAGUGGAAGUAGGUAGCUGAUUUGGAAUGGAGAGAGAGAAGGCUGUAAGUAGCUUUUUUGGACUGGAGAGAGGUUGUAGGUAGCUCAUAUGGAAUGGAGAGAGAGGAAUUAGGUAGCUGAUUUUGACUGGACAGAGAUACAGUUGUAAUUAGCUGACGUUGACCGGAGAGAGAGGUUGUUGGUAGUUGAUUUGGACUGGAGAGAGAAGAUGAUUUGGACUGGAAAGAGAGGAAAUAGGUAGAUGAUUUUGACUUGAGAGAGGAAGUAUGUAGCUUAAUUGGACUGGAGAAAGAGGAAGUAGGUAGUUGAUUUGGACUGGAGAAAGAGGAAGUUGUAGGUAGCUGAUUUGGACUGGAGAGAUAGGAAGUAAGUAGCUGAUAUGGAACGGAGAGAGUGGAAGUAGGUAGCUGAUUUGGACUGGAGAGAGAUGUUGUAUGUAAUCAAUUUUGACUGGAGAGAGAAGAUGAUUUGGACUGGAGAAAGAGGAAGUAGGGAGCUGAUUUGGAUUAGAGAGAUAGGAAGUAGGUAGCUGAUAUUGAAUGGAAAGAGAGGAAGUAGGUAGCUGAUUUGGACUGGAGAGAGAAGAUGAUUGGUACUGUGGAAAGUGGAAGUAUGAAGCUCAUGUGGACGGGAGCUAGAGGAAGUCGGUAGCUGAUUUGGAAUGGAGAGAGAGGAAGUAGGUUGCAUAUUUUAACUGGAGAGUGAAUAAGUAGGUAGUUGAUUUGGACUGGAGAAAGAGGAAUUAGGUAGCUGAUUUGGACGGGAGAGAGAGGAAAUAGGUAGCUGAUUUGGACAGGAGAGAGCGGAAGUAGGUAGUUGAUUUUGACUUGAGAGAGAGGAAUUAGGUAGCUUAUUUGAAAUGGAGAGAGUGGAAGUAGGUACCUUAUUUGGACUUGAGAGAGAGGAAGUAGGUUAUUGAUUUUGACUGGAGAAAGAAGAAGUAGAUCAUUGAUUUGGACUUAAUAAAUUGGAGGUUGUAGGUAGAUGAUUAGGACUGGAAAGAGAGUAGAUUGUAAGUAGCUGAUUUUGACUGGAGAGAGUACAAGAAGAAAGAUGAUUUGGACAGGAGAGAGGAAGUAGGUUUCUGAUUUGGACUGGAGAGAGAGGAAGUAGGUAGACGAUUUGGACUGGAGAAAGAGGAAGUAGGUAAUUGAUUUGGAUUUGAGAAAGAGGAGAUUAUAGGUAGUUGAUUUGGACUAGAGAGAGAGAGGAGGUAGGUAGCUGAUUUGGACUGUAAAGAAAGGAGGUUGUAAGUAGCUGAUUUGAGACUUGAGAGAGAGGACGUAGGUAGCUUAUUUGGACUGGAGAGAGAGGAGGAAGUAGGUAUCUGAUUUUUACUGGAGAGAGAGGAGGCUGUAAGCAGCUGAUUUGGACAGGAGAGAAAGGAAGUAAGUAGCUGAUAUGGAAUGGCAAGAGAGGAAGUAGGUAGCUGAUUCGGACUGGAAAGAGAUGAGGUUGUAGGAAGCUGAUGUGGACUGGAGAGAGAAAUGCCGUCAGUAGCUGAUUUGGACUGGAGAGAGAGGAAGUAGUUAUCUGAUUUUUACUGGAGAGAGAGGAGGCUGUAAGCAGCUGAUUUGGGCUGGAGAGAAAGGAAGUAAGUAGCUGAUAUGGAAUGGCAAGAGAGGAAUUAGGUAGCUGAUUUGGACUGGAAAGAGAUGAGGUUGUAGGUUGCUGAUGUGGACUGGAGAGAGAAAUGCCGUCGGUAGCUUAUUUGGACUGGAGAGAGAGGUUGUAUGUAGCUGAUUUGGACUGGAGAGAGAAGAUGAUUUGGACUGGAGAAAGAGGAAGUAGGUAGCGGAUUUGGACAGGAGAGAGAGGAAGUUGGUUACUGAUUUGGACUGGAGAGAGAGGAAGUAGGCAGCUUAUUUGGACUGGAGAAAGAGGAAGUAGGUCAUUGAUUUGUUCUUAAAAUGGGUAGGUUGUUGGUUGCUGAUUUGGACCGGAGAGAGAGGAGGUUGUAAGUAGCUGAUUUGACUGGAGAGAGAGGAGGUUGUAAGUAGCUGAUUUGAGACUGGAUAGAGGGGAAGUAGGUAGUUGAUUUGAACUGGAGAGAGAGGAAUUAGUUAACUGUUUUGGACUUAAAAGAGGAGGUUGUAGGUAGCUGAUUUUGACUUGAGAGAGAGGAAUUAGGUAGCUGAUUUGGAAUGGAGAGAGUGGAAGUAGGUACCUUAUUUGGACUUGAGAAAGAGGAAGUAUGUAGCUGAUUUGGACUGGAGAGAGAGGAGGAUGUAGGUAGCUGAUUUGGACUAGAGAGAGAGGAGGAUGUAGGUAGCUGAUUUGGAUUGGAGAGAGAUAGGUUGUAGGUUGCUAAUUUUGGACUGGAGAGAGACUAGAUUGUAUGUAGCUGAUUUUUACUGGAGAGAUAGGAAGCAUGUAGCUUAUUUGGACUGGAGUGAGAAGAUGAUUUUGACUGGAGAGAGAUGAAAUAGGUAGAUCAUGUGGACUGGAGAGAGAGGAAGUUGAUAGCUUAUUUGGACUGGUGAGAGAGGAAGAAGGUAGCUGAUUUGGAAUGGAGAGAGAGGAAGUAGGUAGCUUAUUUGGACUGGAGAGAGAGGAAGUAUGUACAGUAGCUGAUUUGGACUGGAGAGAGAGGAAGUCGGUAGCUGAUUUGGACUGGAGAGAGGGGAGGUUGUAGGUAGCUAAUUUGGACUGGGGAGAGAAAGAUUGUAGGUUGCUGAUUUGGACUGGAGAGAGAGAUUGCAGGUAGUUUAUUUUGACUGGAGAGAGAAGAUGAUUUGGGCUGGAGCGAGAGGAAGUAGGUAGCUGUUUUGGACUGGAGAGAGAGGCACUAGGUAAUUGAUUUGGACUGGAGAAAGAGGAAGUUGGUAAUUGAUUUGGACUUAAGAAAUAGGAGGUUGUAGGUAGCUGAUUUAGGACUGGAGAGAGAGUAAGUAGGAAGAUGAUUUGGACUGGAGAGAGUGGAAGUAGGCAGCUAAUUUGGCCUGGAGAAAGAAGAGGUUGUAAGUGGCUGAUUUGAGACUGGAUAGAGGGGAAGUAGGUAGUUGAUUUGGACUGGGGAAAGAGGAAGUAGGUAGCGGAUUUGGACUGGAGAGAGUGGAAGUAGGUAGCUGAUUUGGACUGGUGAGAGACGAAGUAUGCGGCUGAUUUGGACUGGAGAAAGAGGAAGUAGGUAGCUGAUUUGGACUGUAGAGAGAAGCGGUAGUUAGUAGCUGAUUUGAGACUGGAGAGAGGGGAUGUAGGUAGUUGAUUUAGACUGGAGGGAGAGGAAGUAGGUACUUUAUUUCAACUUAAGAAUGAGGAGGUUGUAGGUAGCUGAUUUUGACUUGAGCGAGAGGAAUUAGGUAGCUGAUUUGGAAUGUAGAGAGUGGAAGUAGGUACCUUAUUUGGACUUGAGAAAGAGGAAGUUUGUAGCUGAUUUUGACUGGACAUGAGUGGAGGUUGUAGGUAGCUGAUUUGGAUUGGAGAGAGAGAAAGGUUGUAGGUAUCUGAUUUUGGACUGGAGAGGGAGUAGAUUGGAAGUAGCUGAUUAUGACUGGAGAGAGAGGAAGUAGGUAGUUAAUUUGGACAGGAGAGAGAAGAAGUAGGUAGUUAAUUUGGACAGGAGAAAGAGUUAGUAGGUAAUUGAUUUGGACUUGAGAAAGAGCAGGUUGUAGGUAGCUGAUUUGGUUUGGAGAGAGAAAGGUUGUAGGUAGCUGAUUUUGGACUGGAGAGAGAGUAUACUGUAAGUAGCUGAUUUUGACUGGAGAGAGAGGAAGUAGGUAGUUAAUUUGGACUGGAGAAAGAGUUAGCAGGUAAAUUAUUUGGACUUGAGAAAGAGCAGGUUGUAGGUAGCUGAUUUUGGACUGGAUCGAGAGGAGGUUGUAAGUAGCUAAUUUUGACUGUGGAGAGAGGAAGUCGGUAGCUGAUUUGGACUGGAGAAAGAGGACAUUGGAAGUAUAUGAUUUGGACUUGAAUGAGUGGAAGUGUGUUGCUGAUUUGAACUGGAGAGAGAGGAAGUAGGUAGCUGAUUUGGACUGGAGAGAGAGAUUAGGUUGUAGGUAGCAGAUUUUGACUGGAGAGAGGGG
rnacentral:lncRNA from 1 species